rnacentral:rRNA from 1 species
GACGAACGCUGGCGGCGCGCCUAACACAUGCAAGUCGAACGGAGCUGAGAGAAGCUUGCUUUUCUUAGCUUAGUGGCGAACGGGUGAGUAACGCGUGAGUAACCUGCCCUGGAGUGGGGGACAACAGUUGGAAACGACUGCUAAUACCGCAUAAGCCCACGAUCCGGCAUCGGAUUGAGGGAAAAGGAUUUAUUCGCUUCAGGAUGGACUCGCGUCCAAUUAGCUAGUUGGUGAGGUAACGGCCCACCAAGGCGACGAUUGGUAGCCGGACUGAGAGGUUGAACGGCCACAAUGGGAAUGAGACACGGACCAGACUCCUACGGGAGGCAGCAGUGGGGGAUAUUGCACAAUGGGGGAAAACCUGAUGCAGCGACGCCGCGUGGAGGAAGAAGGUUUUCGGAUUGUAAACUCCUGUCGUAAGGGACGAUAAUGACGGUACCUAACAAGAAAGCACCGGCUAACUACGUG